rnacentral:lncRNA from 1 species
UCCCAACUACCAGAUACCGAUGCAGAUAUCAUUCAUUAAUGCCAGAAUGAUCUGACACAUCUUUUUCACAGAGAACUGGAGGGGAACAAGAUAUCAUCUUUGUGGGUUUCCAGCUUUCAAAACUGCACCACUCUGACAGUAUUGGCUCUUCGAAAAAACAGAAUACAAACUAUUGAGGAGGGAAUAUUUUCUGGCAUGCCAAACCUGAUAGACUUGGACGUAUCUUUAAACAAAAUUGAGGAGUUCUCACCAACUAUAUUUACAAAUCUUCAAAACCUAAAACAGUUGUAAGUAUAUCCAAUGACUACUUGCAUCCUAGCCCUGAUAUAUUUAUUGUUUUGAAAGAUGUUCUCGUUAUGGAU